GCCCCCAUCGUCUAGCGGCCUAGGACUACGCCCUCUCACGGCGCCAACACCGGUUCAAAUCCGGUUGGGGGUACGA
rnacentral:tRNA from 5 species